rnacentral:rRNA from 1 species
GAUGAACGCUAGCGGCAGGCUUAAUACAUGCAAGUCGAGGGGCAGCGCAGUGUAGCAAUACAUGGGCGGCGACCGGCAAACGGGUGCGGAACACGUACGCAACCUACCCAUAACUGAUGAAUAGCCCUCCGAAAGGAGGAUUAAUACAUCGUAACAUAAUGAAGUGGCAUCACUUUAUUAUUAUAGCUCCGGCGGUUUUGGAUGGGCGUGCGCCUGAUUAGGUAGUUGGCGGGGUAACGGCCCACCAAGCCUGCGAUCAGUAACUGGUGUGAGAGCACGACCAGUCACACGGGCACUGAGACACGGGCCCGACUCCUACGGGAGGCAGCAGUAAGGAAUAUUGGUCAAUGGACGCAAGUCUGAACCAGCCAUGCCGCGUGAAGGAUGAAGGUCCUCUGGAUUGUAAACUUCUUUUAUAUGGGACGAAACCUCUUAUUCUUAAGAGACUGACGGUACCAUAGGAAUAAGCACCGGCUAACUCCGUGCCAGCCGCCGCCGUAACAC